UUUGGGUGUUGGCUUUUUGGCACUGACAUCAAUACUCAGCAGGAGAUGCUUACUUUACUAAUCAAAUAUAACAGCAAUUCAGGAAGAAGAUGAGUUGCCGCCAGAAAUGCUAACUGUUGCUAAUGAGGAAAGGCAAGACGCAAAGAAGCAUAUCGAGGAGCAUGUCUAGAACUUGAUGUCUUCAAACAUUAUUCAGACUUUGGCAACUAUGUUGGACACUGUUGUCUUUUAGAGUCAGCAUUAUGUUUCUUGUGGUAGUUAAACUAAAAUGUUGACCGGUUUGGUUUGCUUUCUCUUGAUGUGAAAAAGUGUCUUUUCUUUACUCUGAGGAAGCAACUAUCUUUGACAUGAUCUCGUUUU